rnacentral:lncRNA from 1 species
UCAUAGCGACUUUUGGGAUAGUUUGCUAUCGACAAAGGGAGACAAAGUCAAGGGGUGAAGGGAAAGGAGGGCCAAGUAGAGCCUCCACGACCCUCGGCUUCCUCCUCACCAGCUCCCCCUCCCUCCAAGUCCAGUAAGAAGUUGGGCCAAGCUGGAAGGGAUUGACCGGGUUGCUUGUCUGGAGAUGGAGCCACUACAGGCGGGCCUGGGCGCCUGGAGUCGGGCAUGAAAGAAAAUAGCGCCUCAUCGCUCUUAUCUAAGCCCAGAGGUCCAGGGGACAACCUGAGGGCCCUGAAGUGUUUCAAUACCAUGUACCAGCUUGACUUCUCUACAUGUCCUUUGGAUUGCCCAAAAGCAAAAUCUCAGAGGGGCCAAGGACCUUCUAGGGCUGGCUCCCUCAGGGCCUCCUAUAGAGCAGCUCCUUGAGUCGGGCCUUAUAGCCACCAGAAAGUCACCUCGCCGCAGGAAAGCUAUAAAGAGCUGCUCCAGAGGCGCCGAAAGAGGGUAGACUUCGCUUGAAAAGAUCGAGAAUGGAGGAGGGGAUCGGCACUCACUUGCAGACAUCAACAGUUUCCAGAAAAUUCGGUUCAAUUCCUUCACCACGGACCCACCAACCAAGGAGCUGGCAAAACCCACUAACCAACCAGGAGAACACAGACCCGGUUUGUCUUUUGACAACCGAGUGGAACUGACGGGGCCGGCGCCUGCCCUGCGGGUCCCCUCCCUUGGCUGAGAAGAAAACCAAAUAAACCUUGAACAGCCUUGGCUUCGGAUGUCUCAAGCGGCCUCAUCCUCUCCCGCGCCUUGCCGUUUCCUCUCCCUCGCCGGCCUCGGCGGAGAUUCCAGGCCCUAUAGAAACCAGGACGUCCCUUAGCGCCACCGCCUCACAUGCCAGUGCUGCCGGGAACCCAGCGAUAUCCGCACCAGCGGAGAAGGUUCCAGGCUGCCGGCGGCGGCGCAGAGAGCGGGAAGAGAGGCUCGGAGGAAGCCCCGGGCGUGGCGUGGUCAGGCUCCGAGAGCGGCCGGGAUGCGGCCACACCGGCCUGGUAAACUCGCACCUCUUAGGAUCUUGCUCCCGGACUCAUUCCCUUCCCCACCCCCUAUUUUAAAGUUUUAUUUGGGUCGUCUGUAUCAAUUUAGAACGAGAUAAAUUAAGACAAAGAAAGUAAAAUAAAUCGAAAUAAAAUAUAGGAAUAGCUCUUGG